CCGAAGGGAAACCGAGUCUUAACCGGGCGUUAAGUUGCAGGGUAUAGACCCGAAACCCGGUGAUCUAGCCAUGGGCAGGUUGAAGGUUGGGUAACACUAACUGGAGGACCGAACCGACUAAUGUUGAAAAAUUAGCGGAUGACCUGUGGCUGGGGGUGAAAGGCCAAUCAAACCGGGAGAUAGCUGGUUCUCCCCGAAAGCUAUUUAGGUAGCGCCUCGUGAAUUCAUCUCCGGGGGUAGAGCACUGUUUCGGCUAGGGGGCCAUCCCGGCUUACCAACCCGAUGCAAACUGCGAAUACCGGAGAAUGUUAUCACGGGAGACACACGGCGGGUGCUAACGUCCGUCGUGAAGAGGGAAACAACCCAGACCGCCAGCUAAGGUCCCAAAGUCAUGGUUAAGUGGGAAACGAUGUGGGAAGGCCCAGACAGCCAGGAUGUUGGCUUAGAAGCAGCCAUCAUUUAAAGAAAGCGUAAUAGCUCACUGGUCGAGUCGGCCUGCGCGGAAGAUGUAACGGGGCUAAACCAU
rnacentral:rRNA from 1 species